GUCCACACGGUAAACGAUGAAUACUCGCUGUUGGCGAUACACGGCCAGCGGCCAAGCGAAAGCGUUAAGUAUUCCACCUGGGGGAGUACGCCGGCAACGGUGAAACUCAAAGGAAUUGACGGGGGCCCGCACAAGCGGAGGAACAUGUGGUUUAAUUCGAUGAUACGCGAGGAACCUUACCCGGGCUUAAAUUGCACCCGAAUAAUCCGGAAACGGGUUAGCCGCAAGGCGGGUGCGAAGGUGCUGCAUGGUUGUCGU
rnacentral:rRNA from 1 species